rnacentral:rRNA from 1 species
GACGAACGCUGGCGGCGUGCCUAAUACAUGCAAGUCGAGCGAAUCAUUAGGAGCUUGCUCCUAAUGAUUAGCGGCGGACGGGUGAGUAACACGUGGGCAACCUGCCUAUAAGACUGGGAUAACUUCGGGAAACCGGAGCUAAUACCGGAUAAUUCUUUCCUUCUCAUGAAGGAAAGCUGAAAGACGGUUUCGGCUGUCACUUAUAGAUGGGCCCGCGGCGCAUUAGCUAGUUGGUGAGGUAAUGGCUCACCAAGGCAACGAUGCGUAGCCGACCUGAGAGGGUGAUCGGCCACACUGGGACUGAGACACGGCCCAGACUCCCUAGGGUGGCAG